CUUUGUUGACAAAUAGUUCCUGUCAGUUGGCGUCCGGGCACGUUGGUGUCACCGGGUUCGCUGCGUGGGCGGGGAACGCUGCCGUUCGUUAUGUAAUGUAGUGCAGUGUUAGCAGUCUUCUCUCCCCAGCCUCAGUGCGUCCUCGGUUUACAGACAGGCUCACGAAGACGUGCCCAGGUUCCCAGGAGAGGACGCAGGCGCUUUGAGCAGCCGGGAGCUGGAGAAACUGCCGGGGCGGUUUCAAGGCUUCGCAGCUGCUUAGUAGGCCCUCUCCCCUCGGACUCCGCACCCAGUGUGAUAACAAACCUAGUUAAAUAAAGCCACAUCCUUCAUAAGAAUUUGCUUCGCGAUAAAAUAUUGGAAGUUUUUUUGAAAAAAAUUAAUUUGUCUUGCAGCUAUGUGGCUUUCUUAAUUACAUUAGGUUCUGAUAACUACGUGCAUAUUCAGAAAUCCUUGCGACUGAACAAGCUUAACUGGCAAAUUGUUUUCAAAUGGAACAAAACAUUUUUCCGGGUUGUAUUUAACAAAGAAUUUGAUGUAAUAGGACAUUUUGUAGAUACUUCAACAUGUAUUGAUUUUGAUGUUUAUAAUUUUCUGUUCACAUUUUGCACCCAAUUUUUUUUUGUAAGUAAUACAUUGUUGUUAUAGUAAAAAAAGUGGACACAACUUAAGUAUCUAGCCUCAGGAGGAUGGUUAAGUCUGCUUUUGGGAUGUAAUACUAUUAACUUGUGUAGUCAUUAACUGCUUUUUAAAAAACAUUUAACUUGUACACGAUACGAUGUUGAAUGAUAAUAUUUUAAAAAGCAAAUAAUACGAUCCUAACUUUAAAAACAUGUCUAUUACUGUGUUUAUGUCCAUAAAAACAUGAGUGGUAAGAUGAAGUGAUUUAAAAUGUAUGCUUUAAAGCUUUAUUUUCCUAUUUGUUUCUAAUUGUGCAUUACAGGCACACCUCAUUGUGUUUAACUUUGUUGCUCUUCACAGGUGUUGCAUUUUUUUUUACAAACUAAAGGAAAAACCCUCUACCAAGAAGAUGAAUACUUACUUUAUUGCUAUUCUUGCUUUAGAUGGUGGUCUGGAACCAAACCCCCCCCAUCCCCAUAUCUCCAAGGAAUGCCUGUAUUUUAUAGUAAAAUGUAAUUUUAUUAAGCUUUUAAACAUAUAUAUGUAUAUAUAUAAUUUUGUUUCUACUAAUCUUUAAAUUGUAUUGUUUCAUUGUAUAAUUUUUUGUAAGGGGUUUCCUGAGGCAGCAGUAAUUCUUUUCUCAAAUGGAUUGCAGACUUCCUGGGAAAUAAGUGCCUGAACUCUUGCCAGUGAUGCUCAGUGGGACAGUGUGAUGGGAACAGCCCACAAAAAAGCAGGGAAGAACGAUGUGGAGAGAGGGAACUCAGCACCAACAAGAGCCACAGAUGGGAUCCUGGGAGCCCAGGAGAUGGGGGGCAGGGUGGGGUUCAGGGGCUCUCUGAUGGAGGGAAGUUUGAAGAGGGUCUGGGUUUCCUGGGGCCCCUCACAGGGCUGGGACAGGAGAGACUGAGGUAGGGAAGGAGGGUGGACCCUGAUGGCAGGAGACACUGGGCACACCUGAGAUACAUAAAGUUUAUAAGUACAUUCUUGUAGCUCUGAAUACUUACUAAUUUUUCUUUUCCCCAUUCAAAAACUUUUAUAUGCUGUGGGGUUAUUUUUAAGUUAUUGUCAUUGCUUCUAAUGUAAGUGAUUGAAAUGUGAUGUGGGAAAACUUGGAUUGUUAUUUCCAGAAUUGCACAUUGUAAGAGGGUCAUGUUCAUCUUUGUAUUGUACCAGAGCCGGCCUCCACGCUCCCCUUUGCACCAGCUCCCAGCACCCCUCGGACGUGCUUCCUCAUCUGUGGCCUGCUCUGCACUGUGGGUGCCAUUACUCUGGGUCUUGUCCCCAGUCUGCACUCUCCUGCUUACCUGCCUCCCCAGUGCCUGACACUCACCACUCAGAAAUGUUUGUCAAAUAAAUACACUGCUUAUA